rnacentral:rRNA from 1 species
UACGUAGGGUGCAAGCGUUGUCCGGAAUUAUUGGGCGUAAAGAGCUCGUAGGCGGUUUGUCGCGUCUGCUGUGAAAAUCCAGGGCUUAACCCUGGACCUGCAGUGGGUACGGGCAGACUAGAGUGCGGUAGGGGAGAUCGGAAUUCCUGGUGUAGCGGUGAAAUGCGUAGAGAUGUGGAGGAACACCAGUGGCGAAGGCGGCUUUCUGGUCUGUAACUGACGCUGAGGCGCGAAAGCGUGGGGAGCAAACAGG